rnacentral:rRNA from 1 species
GCAAGUCGAACGGUAACAGGGAAAAGCUUGCUUUUCCGCCGACGAGUGGCGCACGGGUGCGUAACGCGUAUACAAUCUUCCUUUUACAGGGGGAUAGCCGUUAGAAAUGAAGAUUAAUACCCCUUGGACAGUAAAUAUGGCAUCAUAUAUACUUUAAAGUUUCGGUGGUAAAAGAUGAGUAUGCGUUCUAUUAGCUAGAUGGUAAGGUAACGGCUUACCAUGGCAACGAUAGAUAGGGGCCCUGAGAGGGGGAUC